rnacentral:tRNA from 1 species
GCGCUUAUGGCGAAACUGGCAGACGCGCAAGACUCAACGUCUUGUAUCCUUUUGGACGUCUAGGUUCGAAUCCUAGUAAGCGCC